rnacentral:tRNA from 1 species
ACCGCGGUAGCUCAGUUGGUAAAGCAUCUGCCUGAUACGCGGAGAGUCGCCGGUUCUAUUCCGGCUCGCGGCG